GGGUGAAAGCCUGGGGUGCCCCGCGAGGGAGCCCUAGCACAGGUGCUGCAUGGCCGUCGUCAGCUCGUGCCGUGAGGUGUUGGGUUAAGUCCCGCAACGAGCGCAACCCUCGCCUUUAGUUGCCAGCAUUGAGUUGGGCACUCUAAAGGGACUGCCGGUGUUUAAAACCCGGGAGGAAGGUGAGGAUGACGUCAAGUCCUCAUGGCCCCUAUGUCCAGGGCUACACACGUGCUACAAUGGUCGGUACAAAGGGCUGCAAACCCGCAAGGGGGAGCCAAUCCCACAAAACUGACCUCAGUUCGGAUCGGAGUCUGCAACCCGACUCCGUGAAGUUGGAAUCGCUAGUAAUCGCGGAUCAGCAUGCCGCGGUGAAUACGUUCCCGGGCCUU
rnacentral:rRNA from 1 species